UUCAGAGACCCCUUUGCGCACAAAAUCGAUGUGGCUGCCACGAGUUAAAUGCAACGGUACACACAAGUUCGUUGAUGAAGACAAAAAAAUGUGCUCUUCCUUUCAGCCUUGUAUAACGGUGCGUACUGAAGAAUUGCAUAUUGUUCUGAAGCCGAAGCUUCCUUCACAUCUUCUCUCUUCGUGGCCAUCAACGAAAUCAAACUGAAGAUGUUUCCAUGGAAUUGCCAUCGUGAGUGAGCGUCUACCUCUCCAAAUUCGCAGCUGAAGGUGAAGCUUCUUCCUUUCUCUGAGUUACACUAUGAAGCAUGGGUGAGAUUUGUCAUCCUUAACAUUAUUACAGUUGGAGUUUAUGCAUUUGGUUGAUAGUAAUUACCGAAAGUAAGGAUUGAGUUUGGUGAGUUUUGCAGGGAAGGAGAAGAUAGCGUGAGCUUUACAUGGCUUUGAUACCAUACUAAAGGAAGUAAAUGAGACGUAGGUGAAGUGUUUGAAGAAAGACCUCUGUGAGGAUUUCAUUGAAAC